GUAGGUUAAGCUACUAAGGGCACACGGUGGAUGCCUUGGCGCUAGGAGCCGAUGAAGGACGGGACGAACUCCGAUAAGCUUCGGGGAGCUGUAAGUAAGCUUUGAUCCGGAGAUUUCCGAAUGGGGCAACCCACCAGCUUGAAGAGCUGGUACCGCCACCUGAAUCCAUAGGGUGGUCGGGGGCAGACCAGGGGAACUGAAACAUCUAAGUACCCUGAGGAAGAGAAAGCAAACGCGAUUCCCUGAGUAGCGGCGAGCGAAACGGGAACAGCCCAAACCGAUGGCCUUGUGCCAUCGGGGUUGUAGGACGUCUCACACGGAGUCACAAAGGGAGCGAAUAGGUGAACUGGUCCUGGAAAGGCCGGCAAUAUAAGGUAACAGCCCUGUAACCGAAAUUCGUUCCCCUCCGAGACGGAUCCUGAGUACCGCGGGACACGUGAAACCCCGUGGGAAGCUGGGAGGACCACCUCCCAAGGCUAAAUACUCCCUAGCGACCGAUAGUGAACCAGUACCGUGAGGGAAAGGUGAAAAGCACCCCGGGAGGGGAGUGAAAGAGAACCUGAAACCGUGUGCUUACAACCAGUCGGAGUCCCCUUGAGGGAUGACGGCGUGCCUUUUGUAGAAUGAACCGGCGAGUAACGGUUGCGUGCAAGGUUAAGGUGAGAAGCUGGAGCCGUAGCGAAAGCGAGUCUGAAUAGGGCGCUUCAGUACGUAGUCGUUGACCCGAAACCGGGUGAUCUACCCAUGUCCAGGAUGAAGUUCCGGUAACACGGAAUGGAGGUCCGAACCUGUUGGUGUUGAAAAACCAUAGGAUGAGGUGUGGGUAGGGGUGAAAUGCCAAUCGAACCCGGAGAUAGCUGGUUCUCCCCGAAAUAGCUUUAGGGCUAGCCUCGGAUCAAGAGUCAUGGAGGUAGAGCACUGAUUGGGCUAGGGGCCCCCACAGGGUUACCGAACUCAGUUAAACUCCGAAUGCCAUCGACUCAUAUCCGGGAGUCAGACUGCGAGUGCUAAGAUCCGUAGUCAAGAGGGAAACAGCCCAGACCACCAGCUAAGGUCCCCAAGUAAUCGUUAAGUGGCAAAGGAUGUGGAGUUGCCUAGACAACCAGGAUGUUGGCUUAGAAGCAGCCACCAUUCAAAGAGUGCGUAAUAGCUCACUGGUCAAGUGACUCUGCGCCGAAAAUGUAACGGGGCUAAACGAUUCACCGAAGCUGUGGAUG
rnacentral:rRNA from 1 species